GUGGUGCGGUGCGAAGGUUUCUUGAGUGAGUGAGUGAGUGAGUGAGUGAGUGAGUGGAUCAAUGAAUCAAUGAAUGAAUGAAUGAAUGCGUCUCGCAUCGCAGUCCCAGAACUCGGCAGUGAUGGUGGAAGUGCAAGCGUUUUGUAAUUUGCGGCGUAGAAACCUGAGAGUUGUGAUACACCCCACCCCCACCCUCGAGCUGUGAAAGGAAAGGGAUGAGGCUUGACGUUGGGAGCAGCAACUUCAGGCUUUUGUGGGAAAAUUCUGUUUAAGUUUUGGGGAAAACUACAGAAAUUUAAACUGUGGUGCCGAAGUAAAAGAAUUUUCAAGAUAAAAAGGACCACAAUCCUCAGAAAUCUGUCUUGAGCCUGCCCUUCUUAAUGGUGGGAGAAUGAGAUUAAAGCAGCAGCAAAGAUAAAGGGAAACAAAUUCCACAGUUGUGUGGCUGGACCCCUGCACCCGACCCCUGCUCUGUAAGCAGCAAUGAUGGAUAUCAAAGGCGAUUUAGGUCUUCAACCUUGCUUGGGGAGAUGGGACUAAAUACACUAUCCACGUAUUUGGGGAGCCCAGGGUUUUGCCACUUCUUCCACCACUUCGAACAGUGAAAUGAAGUGUCUACAUUGAUAAAUCAAGGUUUCAUUUUUGUGCAAAAAAAAAUAAAUGUGAAUAAAGGGGGGAGGAGGAUGCCACAAAAGUAAGAACGGACUCACAAGUUGCACCGGGCCCUGUUGUACUUCACCUGAAAUCCCAGGAGUCAAAUAUCUCUCACCCUAGUUAAUGCUGGGUUUGAUGGUCUGCAAACAUGAUCCAUUAAACCUGCCAAGUUCAACUUAUACUCACAGGGAAUCAGAUCAAUAAGCAAUAGCCAGACAUGGCUACAACAUAAUUAUUUUGUUGAACUCUCUUCCGUACAGCAGAAAUUAAAGAAAUGCAAUGUAGGGUUAGAGAAGUUUGUGAAGCCGAGCACCUCAGAGUUUAAUUUCGUGAACUUUGAAUGGGAAGAGUACAAAUUGCAGAGCUCUGCAACUGAAAAUGCUUCCAGAAACCUGUGUGUCAUGCCGUGUUCAAAGGCCUGAUCUGUUUCAUUGCCAAUGGUUCCACUCUAUAACCUCAUCACUGAGGGACAGAAUGGCACUCAGAAGAGCCCCAAGCCACCUACUGAGGAUAGUAGCUCCACUAAGCUUACUGAAUAAGAUCCAUUCACCUCCCCUCCCAGACUGGUAACAGGAGAAAACAGCUGUUAGACCCUGGCCGCUGGAAAGGAGGGAAUUCAUACAUCUCCAACUUGUUCUAUAUCCUUUCAGUUCCAUAAUUUUUUUUUUUUUUUUUUUUUUUUUUUUGGUUUUUCGAGACAGGGUUUCUCUGUGUAGCUUUGUAGCCUGUCCUGGCACUCGCUCUGGAGACCAGACUGGCCUCGAACUCACAGAGAUCCGCCUGCCUCUGCCUCAAGUGCUGGGAUUAAAGGCGUGCGCCACCAAGGCCCAGCCAGUUCCAUAAAUUUAUUGCCUGAUAAUCAAUAGGAGAAAUACAUCAGUUAAAUCAGAUUUCAAAAACAGUAAAUUAGAACCAAACACUUAUUUUGGCUAACGGUUCUUUCCCUGGCUCAUCAGUUUAUCAAAGAUCUGCCUGCUGUGUUAAAGUGUGACAAAUGGAUAUCUGUGUUUCAUAACUUCCCUUGAAAGUGAGCUUAUAUGAGAAACUAAUCAAUGUUUUAUUAUCCCACACCAGUAGUUUCUACUGUCAAAGAUUACCUAACCUAGCUUAUCUGGCAAAAUCUCUAAAAUGCCACUAUAUAUCAGUUCAUUUUAAGCAUUUUUGUGAAAUAGACUUUAAACAUAUAAGGCAGUUGUAUGCUAUGAGUAAUUAUCAAAGAAACUACCCUGUAAGCAGUCAACCAAGCCAAUCAGUGGAGUUUUGCUAAUCCUCCAAAAGCCCUAAUGACCUUCCUAAACACAACUCUCCCUCCUGGAAGUUACUGUUAUUCUGACCUUUAUGGUAAUCAUUUCCUUGCUUUUCUUUAUUGUUUUAUCACAGGUGUUCAUCCCUAAGCAUUACAUUGUUUAGUUUUUCCCUUUCUUGUGAAUGGUAUAUAAAUGAGAUAAUAUGUAACCUGUUAUGCUUACCAUAUUUGCUCAACUGCUGUCUGUAAUCCAUAUGUUGUUCAGGUUGUUUAGAGCUACAGUUUGUUCCCUUUCAUUGCUGUCUAUACAAGUGUUUCAUUGUAACAAUAUGUAACAAUUUGUUUAGCCAUUUUGUUGUUGAUCAAAGUCUGGGUUCAUUUUGAGCUAUAAAUGCUGUUGCAGAUAAUUCCUUAAAUCUGUAUUCUGUCAUCUACAUCAGUUUUUGUGUGAUCUGUACUUGAGAGUGUAUAUCAUAAACAUGAGUAAAUAAUGUCACACAGGCUUCUAACAGGAUACAGUCACAUUAGCUACAUAUGAGUGUCAUUGCUCCAGACCUCAUUUCAGUUUUAACUUCCAUUUCCCCAAUUACUGACUGUGUUGAGAACCUUUCAUAGAUCCACUAUUGUAUUAGUCGGGGUCCUCUCUAAGAACAGAAUUUAUAGAAAGGUGAUUUGUUAGAAUGGUUUACAGACUGUGCUCCAGCUAAUACAACAAUGGCUGUCUUACCUAAGAAAGGGACAAGAAGCUGGGCAUUGGUGGCGCAUGCCUUUAAUCGCCCCCCCCAGGAGGGGGGGCAGGGGCAGGCGGAUAUCUGUGAGUUUGAGGCCAGCCUGGCUUAUAGAGUGACUUCCAGGACAGCCAGAACUGUUUCACAGAGAAACCCUGUCUUGAAAAGAAAAAAAAGAAAGGGACAAGAAUCCAGUUGUUGAGUCCAUGAGGACAGAUGCCUCAGCUUUUUCAAUAUACAUCAGAAUGCCAAAGAAGUGGACUCUAAUGCCAAUGAAGGUUGGACUUGCUAGCAAGAGUGAGAGCAAGUAGGCAAAAGGAACAAGCUUCCUUCUUUUGUGUCUUUCAUCUAGACUGCCAGCAGCAGGUGUGGCCCAGAUGAAGGUGGAUCUUCCCACCUCAGAAGAUCUGGAUUAAAAGUGGGUCUUCCAUUCGAGGCCAGCCUGAUCUCCAGAGCGAGUGCCAGGAUAGGCUCCAAAGCUACACAGAGAAACCCUAUCUCGGAAAAAAAAAAAAAAAAGUGGGUCUUCCCCUUCAAAUGAUUUAAUUAUGCAAAAAUAUCCCACACAGGUAUACCUAGCCACUGGGUUUUAGUUAAUUCCAGAUGUAGACAAGUUGACAUCCAAGAAUUGCCAUCACAUCUAUAUUGAUAGCAAUUGGAUUCUUUAUCAUUCUAAUGUGUAAUCUCUGAAAUGCCCACAAUUCCAGUGUCUUUUAGUAGUUCAUAUUUGAACACCAAGAUCAGGGUACAGAAAUGCCACCAAAUGAAUGAUGUUUGGGAGAGAUUCUUUUUGUUUGGUUUUUGGGGGAACAGGUCGAGAUAGGGUUUCCCUGUCCUGGAACUCUGUAGACCAGACUGACCUCCAUAUGGGGGUUGGGGGAAUGGAGGGGUACAGAGGCUUUCUAAAAGAAUUUAGCUUACCUAAUUACUUUAUGAAUUGAUCAUGAACUUUAAAGUAGGGUACACACACACACACACACACACACACAUAUAUUCCUUCCAAAACAAUGUUUUUUCAAUUAUUAAAAAUGUGAAGUCUUGGGGCUGGAGAGAUGGCUCAGAGGUUAAGAGCACUGACUGCUUGCUCUUCCAUAGGUCCUGAGUUCAAUUCCCAGCAACCACAUGGUGUGCAGAUAUACAUGGAAGUAGAAUGUUGUAUACAUAGUAAAUAAAUAAAAUCUUUAAAAAAA
rnacentral:lncRNA from 1 species